AUGGCUGUGUUCAGGGUCAGGGCUCUCCACAUAAACACCAGGCCUGUGACCUCUCACCUUUCCCACAUCACAGGUCAGCCGAAGGCCAGCCCUACGCUCACAGUGUUCCCACCCUCCUCUGAGGAGCUGGCAACCAACAAGGCCACACUGGUGUGCCUGAUUAACGACUUCUACCCGGCUGAGGUGACGGUGACCUGGAAGGCAGAUGGCACAACCGUCACCCAGGGCGUGCACACCACCAAGCCCUCCAAACAGAGCAACAACAAGUACGCGGCCAGCAGCUACCUGAGCAUGACUGCCGAGCAGUGCCGAAAUCGCAGCGCGUUCACCUGCCAGGUCACGCACGAGGGGAGCACCGUGGAGAAGAGCGUGACCCCUGCAACAUGUUCUUAGGGCCUAUUUCCCACCGGAUCCUUAGG